rnacentral:antisense_RNA from 1 species
CGGCGCUUGAGGCUUUUUGCCUCAUGACGUGAAGGUGGUUUGUUACCGUGUUGUGUGGCAGAAAGCAGAAAGCCCCGUAGUUAAUUUUCAUUAACCCAUGUACUGCACCCAUUUUGUUGGACGAUGAAAUGGAAUAGCCCCUAAUAUGUCAAAGCCAAAAUACCCUUUUGAAAAG